ACAAUGAAGAGUUUGAUCCUGGCUCAGGAUGAACGCUAGCUACAGGCUUAACACAUGCAAGUCGAGGGGCAUCAGGAAGAAAGCUUGCUUUCUUUGCUGGCGACC
rnacentral:rRNA from 1 species